GAGCGAACGGAUAAGGAGAAGCUUGCUUCUCUGAUGUUAGCGGCGGACGGGUGAGUAACACGUGGAUAACCUACCUAUAAGACUGGGAUAACUUCGGGAAACCGGAGCUAAUACCGGAUAAUAUUUUGAACCGCAUGGUUCAAAAGUGAAAGACGGUCUUGCUGUCACUUAUAGAUGGAUCCGCGCUGCAUUAGCUAGUUGGUAAGGUAACGGCUUACCAAGGCAACGAUGCAUAGCCGACCUGAGAGGGUGAUCGGCCACACUGGAACUGAGACACGGUCCAGACUCCUACGGGAGGCAGCAGUAGGGAAUCUUCCGCAAUGGGCGAAAGCCUGACGGAGCAACGCCGCGUGAGUGAUGAAGGUCUUCGGAUCGUAAAACUCUGUUAUUAGGGAAGAACAUAUGUGUAAGUAACUGUGCACAUCUUGACGGUACCUAAUCAGAAAGCCACGGCUAACUACGUGC
rnacentral:rRNA from 1 species